UGGGCUCUAUUGAUAUAAGAAGUUGUAAUUCGUUAAACCUCCUCAAACCCUAACCCUAACUCCCAACUCCCAACUCCCAACUCCCAACCCCCAACCUAACGUCGUUGUUCGUCCAUCCGUUCUUUAGAUCGGAGCGUAUGGUAUUUGUUUCCUGUUACAACGAUCUUUUCGAAGCAAUUUCUUUGUUUCGAAGUGUCUAAUUUGAUUUGAUAGAGAAGUGGCAUUCGUUUGUUUGAUGCACUUGUUUUGUUUUAUUUUUGUCUCUAUAAUUUUUUAUUUUUAGUGUCAUUUUGAUGCAGAGCCGAUGAUGGGUUAAAAGUAGUUUGAGGAUCCAAUGAAAAUGAAACUUUUCUGAGGCACUUGCGCAAUUGAAUCUCAUAUGUUUUAUUUUCAAAAUGUUGUUUUAAUGUGAUUCCAUUUCUUGAUGGACUUACUUUCUGAUUGAGUAAGUUAAAUCAGCUUUGACAAAUUGGAAGCUCUUGAUGAACUUGAUCUGUAAUUGGGAAAUUGUUUAAUUUAUUUUGUAAUUAUGUUUCUCAUGCUUUGGCCUUGGUUUUCUUGGUAAAUUAAAAUAUGAGUAAAAAGGAAGAAUAGUGCAGGUGAUGAUAAAACAGACAGGGACAUCAGAACUCCUUUGGAGGAUGUUGACUUAUGUCUUGGGAAUCUCUCUGAUGCACAAUCUUUAUAACUGUUUUCACUGUUUCCUGUGCCUGUGAACUGCUCCUUUGUAACUCUGUGAGCUAAUGGUUCUGUUGUCUUUGCAUUUGCACUCAAUUGAUUGUGUGUGUGUGUUUUCUCUGCUACUGUUUCUGUUGUUUGCUUUCAAUUGUAUGUUGAAUCUGUUAUGGGUCUUUUUUUAGUAGCUACAUUGUGUCAUUCUUAUUCUUGGAGUGCCUAUGAUGGGUUUAAAUAUACUAUGAGGAACUACUAUGAACAUAAUUUAAUCUGAGGCACUUAAUUUUGUAUCUCCAACCUUCCUAGUGGCUCUCUUAAUUGUUUUGCCUUAAUUUUUUUUUUUUCCAACAAAUUGAUUGUUCCUUUGAAUUGUUUUUCUUUUCCUAGGAUAGUCUUGAUACAAUUUUUUUUUUUUAUUGUUGAUAAUGCAUUUGUUGUUUCUCUUGUUAAUGUUGUUUAUGUUAUUUGCUUCCAAAUGUAUGUGGAAUUUGUUAUGAGUCUAUUUUUUAGUAACUACAAUUGUAUCAUUUGUAUUCCUUGAGUGCCUAUGAUGGGUUUAAAUAUACUAUGAGAAACUACUAUGAAUAUACUUUACUCUGAGGCACUUAAUUUUGUAUAUCUAGUCUUCCUAGUGGAUCUCUUAAUUAUUUUAUUUUAUUUUUUUGUUACUCUAACCUACUAAGCACGGCCAGCCUAUUGGAUGCUAGUAGGGCCAAUGGCCACCUACUCCUAUACACACACAUCCACACACACAAAACAUAUGACAGGGUUCGAUCCCAUGACCUCCACCCCUAGGUGCCGGCUCUUAAGCCGAAGCUGCCACCACUAGGCUAUCCUAGUAUUCGUAUCUCUUAAUUAUUUUGCCUUGCAUUGUUUUCCAACAAAUUGUUUUUAGUAUUUUUUAUUAUUUUAUUUUGAAGAAAAUGCUUUGCUAUAUGCACAAUAAGCCAAUGAUGCAUUAUUUGAAUUAUUGGACGUCCUAAGUUUGACUCUCACUAGGCACACCUUGGGCCACUUACACGGGGGUGUUUAGUGCUUUUCACUGCUUUCAGUGAAAGUUGAAUGGUUUUCAUUCAACCCUAGUAUGAUCCGGUCCAUGCGGUUGUGGGUCAAUAUGGGUCUAUACUAAUCAGGCCGAAGGCAUGGAUACCAGUCGUUGGCAAAAAAAAAAAAAAAAAAUCUUUUCUAAUGGAUACCAUGAACUGUUUCUUGGGAUACCUGGAUGAUAUUUUAUUGGUUAUCUUAUUUGUAUUUACUUCGACUGCAAAAUUUGAAUGUGUUAUUUUGAAUUUGUUAUGUUAGAUUUCUUAUGGCCUUCGUUUGUCCUUUAUUUAUUUAUUUAUUAUUAUUAUUUUUUUAAAUAAUUUGGAUGAUGAUUUCAGGGUGGUCUUUGGUCUUUUACUUUUUUUGUUGUGCCCAUUCCUGAAUUUGAAUUAUCCCAUUGAAUGCUGAGUCUAUAGCCUGAUGAUUGUUUUUCAAGAACGGAGAUUUGAAGGGGUGCUCUUGUUGUAGCCUGGCUGGUUUCUGUUGGGCUCCAAAAGCAAACCUACAUGUAAAAAGUGUUGUUUUAUGAUGAAGGCUUCCAGGAUCUGAUCCCUUGGGACACUAUGUAUGGGUAGUUAUGGUCAAUAGUUGAAACAAAACCAGAGGAAAUUGUGGUGGUUGUGGUGUUAUUGAAAGUCGAGUGUUUUUUUUUUUUAAUUCCAGCCAGUGGUAAUGUAUAUGGAGUGAAAUUUUGUGGUCGGAUGGACCCAAACUUCUCUUGCGUCUAUGUGGAGUUUCUGUCUUACCAUAAAAAAGUCCAUGUGGAGUUUAUGGCCAGAAACAGAGAUGGAAUUAUGUUUUGGGCA